GUCAGAGGACAGCUGAGGAAGCUCCGGCCCAGGACAGCAGCAGGCCCGGAUAAAGUGUGUCCGAGACUGCUGCUAAGACCCAGACUCAAUAUGAGG